rnacentral:rRNA from 1 species
UACGAAGGGGGCUAGCGUUGUUCGGAAUUACUGGGCGUAAAGCGCACGUAGGCGGAUUGUUAAGUCAGGGGUGAAAUCCUGGAGCUCAACUCCAGAACUGCCCUUGAUACUGGCAAUCUUGAGUCCGGAAGAGGUAAGUGGAACUGCGAGUGUAGAGGUGAAAAUUCGUAGAUAUUCGCAAGAACACCAGUGGCGAAGGCGGCUUACUGGUCCGGUACUGACGCUGAGGUGCGAAAGCGUGGGGAGCAAACAGG